AUUGAACGCUGGCGGCAGGCCUAACACAUGCAAGUCGAACGAGUGGCGGAAGGGUGAGUAAUGGCUGGGAAAAUGCCCGAUGGAGGGGGAUAACUACUGGAAACGGUAGCUAAUACCGCAUACCAUCGGAUGUGCACAGAUGGGAUUAGCUAGUAGGUGGGGUAACGGAUUACCUAGGCGACGAUCCCUAGAUGGUGUGAGAGGAUGACCAGCCACACUGGAACUGAGACACGGUCCAGACUCCUACGGGAGGCAGCAGUGGGGAAGAUUCGACAAUGGGCGCAAGCCUGAUGCAGCCAUGCCGCGUGUAUGAAGAAGGCCUUCGGGUUUUAAAGUACUUUUAGCGAGGAGGCGUUACUCGCAGAAGAAGCACCGGCUAACUCCGUUCCAGCAGCCGCGGUAAUUC
rnacentral:rRNA from 1 species